rnacentral:antisense_RNA from 1 species
GAUAAUGCAAGUGUUUAACAGAUGCUUCACUAUUAAAAUAUUUUCCCCCCAAGUCUCAAAUAUUGAAGAAUCUCUAACCAGGGACACCAGUCCCAACGAAGACCUUGGGCGAUUUCAAAGUGCGGGCACCUCGAUUCCCCGAAUCUGUAGUGUGGCUGGUAUCGGUGUUUCCCUGGUUUAACUAGCCUGCUUGGCGCAGAUCAUUCAUGGGGAAGUAAAACCGAAACCAGUCCUCUCCACCCCCUGCGGGUCUUCACUUUCCCAGUCUACAUCUGCCUGUGACUCCAGAAAGACAAACUGCAGAUUGGCCAAGGUCCAGCCUAAAUGUUACCUCCUCCAGGGAGCCUUUCCAGAUACUGCUUCUCCUCUCUCCCCCAACUCCCUCCCACAAAUGAAGUAUUCUCUUCUGAAUUCCUUCCUGGUGCUGUCACUUGUAUUGUUUUGGGUAGAUCUCUGGGCAUGCAUAUGUCACCUUCUGUGACUGUGGGUUUCUUGACAACCUAAUCAAUGCAUUGAACAAAGGAGAUGUUUAGACAACCCAUAUAAAAUGAAUGACUAAGAGAAAUCGGGUGAAUACCGUCUACCCCAAUUGCAAUCAGAUUAGUUUCCUCUAUUUUGAAAACGAUUAGAACUAGUAGAGGAGUUAAAUGUCGCCCACUAGGGAACAAAUCUUCAUCUCCAAGCCGUCCUCUGGCUCGAUCGGGUCUGCACUGGGUCUCAUCAACUUACGCUGGCUCAGAGGGAGGCUCAGCCACAGCCUGGCCUUUCUGGUGCCCACUCCCAACAUCCUGAGCUCCGAGUCGGAGCUUGGCAGGGCCGACUCUAGGCACCCCACGAUUGGCUGAGUGAUCUCGGGCAAGGACCUAGGCGUCUCUAAGUCUUAGUUUCCCCAUCUGAACACUGGGGAUAAUGACACGUACCUGGGGUGGACAGGCUAGAGUAAAUGGGAAAAUCAAAGCGCCAGCCAGAGCGGGUCGCGCUCAGUUAGUAUUCUGUAUUUUCUCCUCCUGCCUCUUUGGUUUCUUCCGUUCCCUUCUAGCUGCCUGAAGAUCCAGCCCGACAGCGAUGCCUGCCAGCCCGCGUCGCCCACCAGGGCAGCUGCUCUCCCGACUCGCAUGGGGGGCACCACCCCGCCUCGGUGCCCUGGAGCUGAGCGCAGCCGCGGCUCCACGGGGAUCGCCAGGGCCUCAACCCUCGCGGCCGGCGGCGCGCGAGUGUUGCGGGGCAGGGACCAGAGUGCGACCAGAGCGGCCACCCCCGAUUUAGGUCGCCAGCUUUCCAAUCACUGCGAUGGCCACUGGGGCGCCCCUUCCAUCCUGGUUAAAUUAUCAUUGUGAUCCCCAGCCCCCUUCUCGGUUCCCAACACCCAGGAGGCCGGUUCUCCGCCGCUCAGGCCGGGAGAGGUCACAGCUCCGGGCAGGGUGGACCCCCAGCUCCGUCUCGGAGGGCCUUUCGCCGGAGGCGAGCAGGAAGGGGUUAACCAUGAGCCUCCCACCCUCACCUCCCAGCCCCUGGUGCCGGGCGAGCGAAGGCCUCCGCUUCCCUCCUGAGGUCUCAUUAGGAAACCCUCACCGCUAUUUUCAACAUUUCCUCAAUCAAGUGCCUUUAAAUAGAGCUGCACAAACAGAUUGGCGGCAAAAGCGUAGAUCUUGUCACGAUUGAGACCAAUCCAAUAUUUCGGCCUUGUUUGCUUUGCAAUUACGGGUUGGCUUGUGGCUGCGGUGCCACCGGGGCAAAUCUGCAGCCGCUCGCUUUCUCCUCUGCACUCCGGGCGGGUGGAGGAAGCGACCCGCGGAGUCACUGCAGGGAGGAGAGGGGGACGCGCGUGGGGGGAGGCGGCGGAGGGCGGAGGAGCCUCGCUUGCACCCCAGGGCCUCUGGCACGCAGAGCUGUGUUGAAGGACAUACUUUUCAGGUUCCUGACAGUCACUGAGCUAUACGCAAUAAUAAAAUGCGUGAUUCGCGUGUGGAAACCAGUGUCGUGUCCUUACCAGCUUCCUUUUCUGCCCACCUUCCCUCUCUCUUCUACCUCCGUUUCGCUUUUCUUCAGUGUAUGUUAGCGGUUUGCUGGAUUUUCCUUCUCCCUCGCUGUUCAACUGCUAGCAUGAUUUGUUACAUUUUCCACAGCUGUUUAUUCUUGUUUGACUUUUUGUACAAAGUCACUUUAAAUCUGCUGCAGAAAGAAUAAAGCUCCUAGCCCUUUGGAUGGGCUCCUGCAGGCGUGUGGCUGUCCCUGGCCCACUUUUAAUUCUUUGAAAAUGGCUCUUCUGUGUAAAUCAGCUGCUGGGUGCGUUCGGUCACCUCGUAGGCCAGCCUAGUUUGUGUCAGCAGAACAGUAGUGAACUCAAAUCAGGUCGUAAGCCUUAUAUUUCACAGACAAUUAAAUCUUGGCUGCUGUUGAACAAAACUGUAAUAUUUACUCUGCUCUAUACCGAGGAGCACUUUUAAAGU